UGAAAGCAGCACAUAAACAGAAGGACCUCCUACACCAAUGAACCACAGAGCAAAUUAAGUUAGGGGUGUAUGCAUGUAUGUGUGUGCACCCAGAGGUGCAUGUGUAUGUGUAUGUAAGAUAAAAUUUCAUAUUAUAUUGUGGCACUGUUAUGUGCCACGGUUAUUUAAAAGUAAGAAUAAACUUGUUAGUGAGAGAAAGCAGUCACUUUCUGAUGCUUCUUACUGAUGUGUCAACUGUCAUGGUCAGGUGAAGAAGAAGACAAACUACCUAGAAGAGAGAGCUUGAGACCCAAGAGGAAACGGACUAGGGAUGUCAUAAACGAGGAUGAUCCAGAACCUGAGCCAGAGGAUGAAGAAACAAGGAAGGCAAGAGAAAAAGAAAGGCGGAGGAGGAUGAGGAGAGGAGCGGAAGAAGAAGAAGAAAUUGAUGAAGAGGAAUUAGAGCGACUGAAGGCACAGCUGGAUGAGAAUAGACAGAUGAUUGCUACUGUCAAAUGCAAACCUUGGAAAAUGGAGAAGAAAAUUGAAGUUCUCAAGGAAGCAAAGAAAUUUGUGAGUGAAAAUGAAGGGGCUCUUGGGAAAGGAAAAGGAAAAAAGUGGUUUGCAUUUAAGAUGAUGAUGGCCAAGAAAUGGGCAAAAUUCCUUCGUGACUUUGAAAACUUCAAAGCCGCUUGUGUUCCGUGGGAGAACAAAAUCAAGGCCAUUGAAAGUCAGUUUGGCUCAUCAGUGGCCUCAUACUUCUUGUUCCUGAGGUGGAUGUAUGGCGUUAACAUGGUUCUCUUCAUCCUGACAUUCAGCCUCAUCAUGUUACCAGAGUACCUCUGGGGUUUACCAUACGGCAGCUUACCUAGGAAAACAGUUCCAAGAGCUGAAGAGGCAUCUGCAGCCAACUUUGGCGUGUUGUACGACUUCAAUGGCCUGGCACAGUACUCUGUCCUCUUUUAUGGCUACUACGAUAAUAAGCGCACGAUUGGAUGGCUGAAUUUCCGGCUACCUCUCUCCUACUUCCUGGUGGGAAUUAUGUGCAUUGGAUACAGCUUUCUGGUUGUCCUCAAAGCGAUGACCAAAAAUAUUGGUGAUGAUGGAGGUGGCGAUGACAAUACUUUCAAUUUCAGCUGGAAGGUGUUCUGCAGCUGGGACUAUCUGAUUGGUAACCCUGAAACAGCUGACAACAAAUUUAAUUCUAUCACCAUGAACUUUAAGGAAGCCAUCAUAGAAGAAAGAGCGGCCCAGGUGGAGGAGAACGUCCACCUCAUCAGAUUCCUGAGGUUUCUUGCUAACUUCUUCGUGUUCCUAACACUUGGUGCAAGUGGAUACCUCAUCUUUUGGGCUGUGAAGCGAUCCCAGGAAUUUGCACAGCAAGAUCCUGACACCCUUGGGUGGUGGGAAAAAAAUGAAAUGAACAUGGUUAUGUCCCUCCUGGGGAUGUUCUGUCCCACACUGUUUGACUUAUUUGCUGAAUUGGAAGAUUACCACCCUCUCAUUGCUCUGAAGUGGCUCCUGGGGCGCAUUUUUGCUCUUCUUCUAGGCAACCUGUAUGUAUUUAUUCUUGCCUUGAUGGAUGAGAUUAACAACAAGAUUGAAGAGGAGAAGCUCGUGAAGGCCAAUAUUACUCUGUGGGAAGCCAACAUGAUUAAGGCGUACAAUGACUCCCUCUCCGGGAACACCACAGGACCACCUUUUUUUGUUCAUCCUGCAGAUGUACCUCGAGGACCCUGCUGGGAAACAAUGGUGGGACAGGAGUUCGUGCGACUCACCGUUUCUGAUGUUCUGACCACUUAUGUCACGAUCCUCAUCGGUGACUUCCUCAGAGCGUGCUUUGUGAGGUUUUGCAACUACUGCUGGUGCUGGGAUUUGGAAUACGGAUAUCCCUCAUACACAGAAUUUGACAUCAGUGGCAACGUCCUUGCUCUGAUCUUCAACCAAGGCAUGAUCUGGAUGGGCUCCUUCUUUGCCCCGAGCCUUCCAGGUAUCAACAUCCUCAGGCUCCACACAUCCAUGUAUUUCCAGUGCUGGGCUGUGAUGUGCUGCAAUGUUCCCGAGGCCAGAGUCUUUAAAGCUUCCAGAUCCAACAACUUCUACCUCGGCAUGCUGCUGCUCAUCCUCUUCCUGUCUACCAUGCCCGUCCUCUACAUGAUCGUCUCCCUCCCGCCAUCUUUCGAUUGCGGGCCCUUCAGUGGUAAAAACAGGAUGUUUGAAGUCAUUGGUGAGACCCUGGAACAUGAUUUCCCGAGCUGGAUGGCGAAGAUCCUGCGGCAGCUUUCUAACCCCGGGCUGGUCAUUGCUGUCGUUCUGGUGAUGGCCGGGCUGUCAAUAACUGCAUCUGCAGUAACAGAAUCAGAGGAGCAGAGUGUUCCCAGUUACCCCAGGCUACCCCUGAAAAGUCAGAGUGAUAUUUAAAAGAAAAUGUAUCUGAAGGAUUUUGUCCCUAUUUUUCUUUCACGUUUGGCUUGAGCAGUAUAAAGAUUUGUCUUCUGGAAGAACUAAGAGGGAUACUCCCCCUCUUUACCAGCCCCUCCUAAUGAGAAAGUCUGGAAUCACUGCUGCUUCGGCUCAGUGACAACAAGCACGAAGUCACUCCUAGGGAUGCUGGCUCCACAAGGUUGAUAUGGAGGACUGAAUCUAAAGGUGAAAUGAGCAAAACUUGGAGCUGAAACUCCAAUAAGCUUGGAAUAAACAAGCUGAAUGCUGACUCAGUUACCAUGACUGUUCCUCAUGGCCGUGUUCACGGCCAUAGUCACAGAAAGGGUUUGACCAUCUAUUAUCUCAAUGCUACCGCGAAGGGCCAGAAAGCAGCAAAUCUGGAUCUAAAAAAGAAGAUGAAAAUGCAAGCUUUGGAGAACAAAAU